rnacentral:rRNA from 1 species
GACGAACGCUGGCGGCGUGCUUAACACAUGCAAGUCGAGCGGUAAGGCCCUUUCGGGGGUACACGAGCGGCGAACGUGUGAGUAACACGUGGGUGACCUGCCCUCAGCUCUGGGAUAAGCCCGGGAAACUGGGUCUAAUACUGGAUAUGACUCCAUGACGCAUGUUGUGGGGUGGAAAGCCUUGUGCGGCUGAGGAUGGGCCCGCGGCCUAUCAGCUUGUUGGGGGGUGAUGGCCUACCAAGGCGACGACGGGUAGCCGGCCUGAGAGGGCGACCGGCCACACUGGGACUGAGACACGGCCCAGACUCCUACGGGAGGCAGCAGUGGGGAAUCUUGCGCAAUGGGCGAAAGCCUGACGCAGCGACGCCGCGUGAGGGA